CUGGUUGAUCCUGCCAGUAAUGAUAUGCUUGUUUCAAAGAUUAAGCCAUGCAUGUAUCAGUUCACACCUUUAAACGGUGAAACCGCGAAUGGCUCAUUAAAUCAGCUAUGAUUUCUUAGAUCUUACACCAUUUACUUGGAUAACUGUAGUAAUUCUAGAGCUAAUACGUGUUAAAGCAGACCUUGGACGUCUCUCUCGGGAGAUGUUCUCGGUGAAUUUAUUAGAACAAAACCAACCAGUCUUCGGACUGCCGGUUUGAUGACUCUGGAUAACUGAUCUGACCGCAUGACCUUGAGUCGGCGGCGUAUCUUUCAAGUGUCUGCCCUAUCAACUGUCGAUGGUGAGUGCUAUGCUCACCAUGGUGAUCACGGGUAACGGGGAAUCAGGGUUCGAUUCCGGAGAGGGAGCCUUAGAAACGGCUACCACAUCUAAGGAAGGCAGCAGGCGCGCAAAUUACCCACUUGCAGUGUCUUGCAGAGGUAGUGACGAUAAAUAACAAUGCAGGACUCCUAUGAGGCCCUGCAAUUGGAAUGAGAACAAUUUAAAUCCUUUAACGAGGAUCAAAUGGAGGGCAAGUCUGGUGCCAGCAGCCGCGGUAAUUCCAGCUCCAUUAGCAUAUAUUAAAAUUGUUGCAGUUAAAAAGCUCGUAGUUGGAUCUCAGGUUUGGAAGCCUUGGUGAGCCUACAUGGGUUCUACUAGGGUCAUCCGCCUCAUUAGCCGGUGAGUUACUGUGAUUGCACUUAAUUGAGCGUUGCAGUGCACGGCAUGUUUACUUUGAAAAAAUUAGAGUGCUCAAAACAGGCCAUUUUGCGCCUGAAUACUGUUGCAUGGAAUAAUGGAAUAGGACUCUGGUUCUGUUUUGUUGGUUUUCGGUAUUUUGCCGGAGUAAUGAUUAAAAGGAGUAGAACGGGGGCAGAAGUAUGGCCGCGUAAGAGGUGAAAUUCAUGGAUCGUGGCCAGACUAACUACUGCGAAAGCAUUUGCCAAGGAUGCCUUCAUUAAUCAAGAACGAAAGUCAGAGGUUCGAAGACGAUCAGAUACCGUCCUAGUUCUGACCAUAAACGAUGCCAACUGACCAUCAGGAUUGAUUUUAUUAGUCAUCCUGGCAGUCCUUGGGAAACCUUCAAGUAAGGUUCUGGGGGGAAUAUGGUCUCAAGGCUGAAACUUAAAGGAAUUGACGGAAGGGCACCACCAGGAGUGGAGCCUGCGGCUUAAUUUGACUCAACACGGGAAAACUCACCCGGCCCGGACACUGUGAGGAUUGACAGAUUGAGAGCUCUUUCUUGAUUCAGUGGAUGGUGGUGCAUGGCCGUUCUUAGUUGGUGGAGUGAUUUGUCUGGUUAAUUCCGAUAACGAACGAGACUCAAGCCUGCUAAAUAGUCCGCUCAUGUCGUGGUUUCGACUUCGAUAGUGAGUAUUGACUUCUUAGAGGGAUUGGCGGCAUUUAGUCGCAUGAAAUUGAGCAAUAACAGGUCUGUGAUGCCCUUAGAUGUUCGGGGCCGCACGCGCGCUACACUGACAGUGUCAAAAAGUCUUUGCCCUUCUCCGAGAGGAUUGGGAAAUCUUUUAGUCACUGUCACGUCAGGGAUCAGGGUUUGUAAUUAUCCCCUGUGAACGAGGAAUUCCCAGUAAGCGCAAGUCAUCAGCUUGUGCUGAUUACGUCCCUGCCCUUUGUACACACCGCCCGUCGCUACUACCGAUUGAAUGGUUUAGUGAGAUCCUCGGAUUGAGACGUACGGUGCGCUUCGCGUGCACCCAGCGUUUUGAGAAGACGAUCAAACUUGGUCAUUAGAGGAAGUAAAAGUCGUAACAAGGUUUCCGUAGGUGAACCUGCAGAUGGAU
rnacentral:rRNA from 1 species